rnacentral:rRNA from 1 species
AUUGAACGCUGGCGGCAGGCCUAACACAUGCAAGUCGAACGGUAACAGGAAGAAGCUUGCUUCUUUGCUGACGAGUGGCGGACGGGUGAGUAACGUCUGGGAAACUGCCUGAUGGAGGGGGAUAACUACUGGAAACGGUAGCUAAUACCGCAUAACGUCGCAAGACCAAAAAAGGGGACCUUCGGCCGUCUUGCCAUCGGAUGUGCCCAGAUGGGAUUAGCUAGUAGGUGGGGUAACGGCUCACCUAGGCGACGAUCCCUAGCUGGUCUGAGAGGAUGACCAGCCACACUGGAACUGAGACAACGGUCCAGACUCCUACGGGAGGCAGCAGUGGGGAAUAUUGCACAAUGGGCGGCAAGCCUGAUGCAG